AAUAAGUGCAUUUUUGCACUAUUCACGUUCAACGUUUGACCGUUUAUCUUAUUUGAUUAGUAUUUCUAUUGCUAUUAGAAGAUAAAACAUGAAUAGUACUUUAUGUGUGACUAAAUAUUUUCAAAUUUUUCACAAAUUUUUCAAAUAACACGGACAGUCAAAUGUUGGGCACCAAUAUCCACUGCUGCACUUAUU
rfam:Oryza barthii chromosome 10, whole genome shotgun sequence.